UACGAAGGGGGCUAGCGUUGCUCGGAAUUACUGGGCGUAAAGGGCGCGUAGGCGGCGUUCCAAGUUAGGCGUGAAAGUCCUGGGCUCAACCUGGGAACUGCGCUUAAGACUGGAAUGCUAGAGGGAUGGAAGAGGGUUGUGGAAUUCCCAGUGUAGAGGUGAAAUUCGUAGAUAUUGGGAAGAACACCGGUGGCGAAGGCGGCAACCUGGUCCAUUUCUGACGCUGAGGCGCGAUAGCGGUGGGGAGCAAACAGG
rnacentral:rRNA from 1 species